AGACGUCUACAUUAGAUACCCCCGUAGUCCCAGCCGUGAACUAUGCUCGCUAGGUGUCAGGCAUGGCGCGACCGUGUCUGGUGCCGCAGGGAAGCCGUGAAGCGAGCCACCUGGGAAGUACGGCCGCAAGGCUGAAACUUAAAGGAAUUGGCGGGGGAGCACAACAACAGGUGGAGCCUGCGGUUUAAUUGGACUCAACGCCGGACAACUCACCGGGAACGACAGCAAUAUGUAGGCCAGGCUGAAGACCUUGCCUGAAUCGCUG
rnacentral:rRNA from 1 species